UAAGAAGAAAGGAGGAGAGGCCUUCGCUCUCUCUUUUUCCUUCCGGUAGCUUUGGAGGUGCAGGUUCCCUGCUGUUGAGUCUGUCGGGUUGGAGAGUGAGGCCUGGUAAAGUCUUGCCGACCUUGGGAGGCGGAGGUUGUUGGCAAUCAUAGAUCUGUUGUC